rnacentral:rRNA from 1 species
AACUCGCCUACAUGAAGUCGGAAUUGCUAGUAAUCGCGGAUCAGCAUGCCGCGGUGAAUACGUUCCCGGGCCUUGUACACACCGCCCGUCACACCAUGGGAGUCGGUAACACCCGAAGCCUGUAGUCUAACCGCAAGGGAGGACGCAGUCGAAGGUGGGAUUGAUGACUGGGGGUGAAGUCGUAACAAGGUACC